rnacentral:tRNA from 2 species
GCGCCCGUAGCUCAGUGGAUAGAGCAUCCGCCUUCUAAGCGGGAUGUCGAAGGUUCAAAUCCUUCCGGGCGUGCCA